GGAGCGGCGCGGGACGCGGCCCCGUGAAGGGCUGUGGGGAGGAGGUUUGCCUUCAGCGGAGCGGUCUUUUCGACGCCAACGCCGAACGGGAGUAAUCUGUGGAGCUGAGAGAACGCUGAGUGAGGGGCGCUGAGCGGGAGAGCCCGGCAGCACCGAUGGCUGUGUGGUGGUGCCUGAACCCCUCAGAGGUGGGCUGUGCAGGCGUCGGAGCCCUGCUCCCCAUAACAGCAUUGCCAAGAGCAUCCCACCAUGGGUGCAGCCGUUCAGGAGCAUCUUCAGGGUGUCUUGAAAACUAAUGGAGUCUACAUUAUGUCAUCAGUCUGGUAGGAUCGGGUGGAGACGUGACAGCCUUGGAAUGGUAAGUACUGACCUUUGAACACUGACAGAGGAUGAGCAAGGCUCCAUAAAGCAGGGAAUG
rnacentral:lncRNA from 1 species